GACGAACGCUGGCGGCGUGCCUAAUACAUGCAAGUAGAACGCAGUUGCGAACGGGUGAGUAACGCGUAGGUAACUACCUCAUAGCGGGGGAUAACUAUUGGAAACGAUAGCUAAUACCGCAUACUAUGAGAUGGACCUGCGUUGUAUUAGCUAGUUGGUGAGGUAACGGCUCACCAAGGAGAAGAUACAUAGCCGACCUGAGAGGGUGACCCGCCAAACUGGGCCGUGGACACGGCCCAGAGCCCUACGGGAGGCAGCAGUGGGGAAUAUUGGACAAUGGGCGAAAGCCUGAUCCAGCCAUGCCGCGUGUGUGAAGAAGGUCUUCGGAUUGUAAAGCACUUUAAGUUGGCGUUACCAACAGAAUAAGCACCGGCUAACUUCGUGCCAGCAGCCGCGGUAAUAC
rnacentral:rRNA from 1 species